AAUGAACUUUUGCCAAAUGUAAAAAGUUUGGCGAAUAAGGACUGGGUAAGACGGGUGCCAGCCGCCGCGGUAAUACCCGCGGUCCAAGUCGCAGCCAUCUUUAUUGGGUAUAAAACAUCCGUAGCUUGCUUGAUAAGUUUUUUGUGAAAUCCUAAGUCUUAAACUUAGGGCGAGCAAAGAGUACUGUUGAGCUAGAGACUGGAAGACGCAAGAAGUAUGUUCAAUGUAGUGGUGAAAUACUUUAAUCUUGAGCAGACUCACAAUAGCGAAGGCAUCUUGCGAGGACAGUUCUGACAGUAAGGGAUGAAGGCUAAGGGCGCAAAAGGGAUUAGAUACCCCUGUAGUCCUAGCAGUAAACACUGCACACUAAACAUUAGUACCUCCUCGAGAGGUAUUGGUGCUGAAGCGAAGGCGAAGAGUGUGCUACCUGGGAAGUAUAGCCGCAAGGCCGAAACUUAAAGGAAUUGGCGGGGGAGCAC
rnacentral:rRNA from 1 species